UUGAUUCCAUCCUUGAAAGUUAUACGGUGCACAUUUCCAAUGAAAAUUCUCAUUCUCUUCUGUUUCAAAUUUCGAGAGAGGAUUUAUUCCAAGUGGGGGAGAGUAAGUAGUGCUAGAGCUGUUAUGGGUGUGUUUUUGGAUCGUUGCAACUUAUUUCAACUCAAGGAUGAGUUUUUUCUUUCUCUUUUUUUCCCCCCCUCAAGAUGGGGGGGUAUGGUGCGGGGCUUGGACAACAAGAAAAAGUAAAAGAAGGCAAGACAAGGUGUUCCAGCAGGGGCAACAGUUUAAUACAGAAUAGUAAAUGCCUUGGGCAUGUACCAGAGGCAAAUCACCUACCCGUGGCAUGUGAUUUUCUGCUGGUUGUGUAAAGCUGCGUUUUUAGAGUUAAUUUUGAAGUCCAAUAGUCCUAAAGUCACUUGGACUUCUUGUUUUGACUACACACAGUUGUAGAAAUUAAUUAGAACUAAUUUAGGAAGCUUUUCUACUCU
rnacentral:misc_RNA from 1 species